GCUGAUAGACCCCUAUUGUAUUGGAAUUAGGCGCCCAUCUUUUUACUGUUGUCAAUGAAUCUCUUCCAUGUUCGAUUCUACUCUAUGUUAGAACAUUUCUGUGAAUGCUAUUCUGAUCUAAGUGGUCUUAUUCUUUGUCCCGUGCUAGGAAGCAUUACUCCUCUUUUCAUUCCAAAUUCAAGAAUACGACCGAUACGAUUAAUUGGUCUGUGCGCCUCUCUUAUUACUUUUUUGUAUCCCCCUGUUCUUCGGAUACAAUUCGAUCCUUCUACGGCCAAAUCUCAAUUUGUGGAAAGCCUUCGAUGGCUUCCUUAUGAAAACAUCAAUUUUUAUUUGGGUAUAGACGGUAUCUCUUUAUUCUUCGUGAUAUUGACCACAUUUCUGAUCCCUAUUUGCAUUUUAGUGGGUUGGUCUGGUAUGAGAAGUUAUGGGAAAGAGUAUAUUACAGCAUUUCUAAUUCGUGAAUUUAUAAUGAUCGCCGUGUUCUGCAUGCUGGAUCUUCUACUAUUCUAUGUUCUUCCUGAAAGUGUGCUAAUCCCUAUGUUCAUUAUUAUAGGGGUAUGGGGUUCGAGACAAAGAAAGAUCAAGGCAGCAUAUCAGUUGUUCCUUUAUACUUUACUUGGAUCUGUUUUUAUGCUAUUAGCUAUUCUGUUGAUUCUUCUCCAAACAGGAACAACCGAUUUACAAAUCUCAUUAACCACAGAAUUUAGUGAGCGGCGCCAAAUCUUUCUAUGGAUUGCUUCUUUCGCCUCUUUCGCCGUCAAAGUGCCUAUGGUACCAGUUCAUAUUUGGUUACCCGAAGCUCAUGUAGAGGCACCUACGGCAGGAUCCGUCAUCUUGGCAGGAAUUGCUUUAAAAUUGGGAACCUACGGGUUUUUAAGAUUUUCAAUACCCAUGUUUCCCGAAGCGACACUUUGUUCCACUCCUUUCAUUUAUACUUUAAGCGCGAUUGCUAUAAUAUAUACUUCCUCGACCACUUUAAGGCAGAUCGAUCUUAAGAAGAUCAUUGCUUACUCCUCAGUAGCUCAUAUGAAUCUGGUGACUAUUGGUAUGUUUAGUCCGAACAUACAGGGAAUUGGAGGUAGCAUUCUACCGAUGUCAAGUCAUGGACUGGUUUCUUCAGCCCUUUUUCUAUGUGUUGGUGUUCUAUAUGACCGACAUAAGACUCGACUUGUUAGAUAUUACGGAGGUUCAGUGAGCACCAUGCCGAAUCUCUCUACCAUUUUCUUCUCUUCCACUUUGGCCAAUAUGAGUUCACCUGGUACUAGCAGCUUUAUCGGGGAAUUUCUCAUCUUAGUAGGAGCUUUCCAAAGAAAUAGCUUAGUAGCCACAUUAGCAGCGCUUGGGAUGAUUUUAGGCGCGGCCUAUUCCCUUUGGCUAUAUAAUCGUGCGGUUUCUGGGAAUUUAAAACCCGAUUUCCUCCAUAAAUUCUCCGAUCCAAAUGGCAGAGAAGUUUCCAUAUUUAUACCUUUUCUUGUUGGAGGGGCGACCGUACGUUAAACUACCAAACAAACUAGGGUAAACCAAUGUGAUCAUGACAUUGUAGGUGCUUGCGAUGGGACGGAUGCGACUUCCCUCAGUUGGUUUGGGUGGCAUAGCCCGUUGCAUAAGUCCCCCCCUUUUUUUAUCCAUUUCUUUAGUCUUUAGGGAGCCAAAGCUUGACUUUACUAAACUAAUAAAUAAGGCUCGCGCUAGGCGCUUACCUUUUUUGGCUGUAGGGUUGGGGUGGCUUGCUGGGUGAGACUGAUAGAAAGAAAGGACGGGGGGCAACCAUGCAUGGUACUUCUCGACCCUGUCUCCGAGGGACAGUUGAACUAGCGACUCAUGAAUGCUGCCGGGUUGGACGAGCCAAUAACUCGAAGGCGUUCGGUCUGUUUUUUGAGCAAGAAUCACAGCCUUACCUUAUCUUCACCAUGAUACGGACUCCAAGUUCUUAUGGCAGAGCACGAGGAGAUUUAUCAUCAAUAUGAUGAUUGGAGUGGAAACCAGAAGCACGACUGGGGUCCUCGUGGUCCAAGAUAAUCAAACCAUCAAUAACAGUAACGUAAGCAUGAGACUUUUUGGUAGUACCGGUGAACCAGAUGGCCGCGGCGAUGGAAUCUGGGACGGAGGACUUGUAGUAUCUCUCUAGAUCUGGCAAAAGCGAAAGACCCCCUAACAUAAUUCGAAUGGAGGCUGACCGCUGAGCCCACUCUGGCCUGGCGGGGCGGGCCCCUGUGGUUGCGAGCUGGAGCUGCCAUAGCUUAUGGAUAUAGCAAUGGGAGGGCCCCAGCAGAGAGAAAAGUCAGGAUAACGAGCGCUCCGCCCGCCAAGCGGGCGGCAGGAGCAGCGGGCAAGUGCUUGGUAAGCCAACAGCCCAGUGAACCGGGCGGGGCACUCGAAGAAAGGGGGGCACACUGAGCAAGUACGAGAAAUUGGCCCCGCUCCGCUUUCUUAAAAGCAAGGACCACUACGGGAGGUCAAACCAAGGAUCUAUGGAAGUGGGGGCUCGUCCCCGGUCAAUAUUGGAUCAAACAAUAGGGGGCCGUAGCACUGACCUCUUUUUUUUAUUGAUUCAAUACAAUAGGGGAAAAGAUCGUACAGUUCCCUACCGAGACAAACUCUCAACGGAUCCUCCGCGCGCUGGGAAUACCUCUUCCGUGCGUCUUUCUCGUGGCGGGAACAGAACAACAGGGAAAGACCCGGCCCAGGGCGAGCUUUAUUUAUUGUUGAGAGAAUGGGGAGUGAAUCGAAUUCCGUUUCCGUUCUUUGGGGGCUUUCGGGCCCCUCUCGAUCUUUUUCGUAGUUGAGAAGGGGGAAGGAGUCUAAAUCAAUGGACAUUAAUGAACCAUCAUUGAUGGACGUUGCACAUGACACGAUCAAUUCGACUCAAGGUCCGGCGCUAAUAGAAGUUGCUUACUUUCCUAGUAGCGAAGGAAAGGAGCUGAAAGCCACUGUAAGGAGAGGGCAGGGCUUUUUUCGUAGUAAUAGUGGGCCGGUCUCAUGAGAUCUAUGCCGGCCGUCGGAAUCAAACGAAGGUCGAAGGACCAUUCGAUUCAUUAAGGGGCAUAGCGGCGCCCUCGCCCGGCGCCAUUUCCGGACCUAGCAGCAGACGGGCGGGCCGUGCCUGAAUUCAGACCGGACCAGACUCUUCUUUGUUUGAGCUGCUCCCGGGCACGCAGACCGAAGAUCUCACUUGUCCUGGACAAGUACGUAGAGAUCUUCGUGGGACCGUGGAGGGAGUCUCAAUCGAUCUUUUCUAGGAUUCCUUAUCACGCCACACAUGGAGAUCUUUCCAUUGAUAGAUCAGAGGGUCCUCCCUUGAACAAAUUCUUAAAGGUUAGGUUACUACCUGCUUCUACGGAAGAGGUUUACUUUGUACCGCCCGGAGGUCAUAUAGAUCGGAAUCCGGAGUGAUAAGAACGAAAGGGUUGGUGUGGCCACAGCUACAACUACUGGCGCUUCAAAAGGCUUAGAUUCUAAGGGCGCUACUGAAAGCCUUUUUUUAGGUCCUGUAAUAGGGAGGUGUAAGCCUCGAAAGCCUUUGGUACUUCGGUAGGGCGAGCAGCCCUUAAACCAAAAAAAAGGGAGUCUCUGACUUCCUUCCCCUAUUUUUUUUUAUGCAUUUCAUUCUCUAUUUGGCCCGCUUCAAACAAAAUGAGAAAAAAGGGUCCGGUCAAUAGCAUAGCUAUUUCUUUCCCCGGUCUCCUUUCGAAGGAGAGGCCUUCACAUUCCUAAUCCGGUAGGGUCGGACGGCUUUCUUUGCCCCAGCUUGGCGAAUCGCAUCCCCGCACAACGACAUUCUUUGUUUGUGCGCCCCUUACCGUUCUCGCUCAGUCUUUCAACGGCUGGGAAGGCAGUCGUAGAAACGAAGCCUAUCGCCACGCCGACCAUCAAAUAGGAGAUUGGGCCCCUUCUCAAAGAUUUGAUGGAAUGGCCCACCCCACCCAAGAGCGCUUAUGUCAUAGGGGAACUCAUGGCUGGAAACAAUCCUUAUGGUUUGUUUUGAUAUCCGGUAGGAAUAAUAAAAAAAAAGUCCAGGUUGGUUGGUGAGCCUAGUGAUAGGAGACUAUCUAGCUUGGUUCGGAGAGCACUUGUUGGGAACAAUAUUUUUUGGUUGCUAAAUGUUACGGCCUAAAUGCUGAACUAUUGACCCUACUUGUUCGGAUGGGUGUUCACCCCAAAGUGUUCCCGGACCGCAUGCAUACAUCCGUAAGUAACUUAGUGCAACAUGGAAAAUUUCAUUGAGAGGAAUCAGCAAAGAAAAGAAAAACGG